rnacentral:rRNA from 1 species
UCAAAGAUUAAGCCAUGCAUGUCUAAGUAUAAACAACUUGUAUUUGUGAAACUGCGAACGGCUCAUUAAAUCAGUUAAUAUUUAUUUGAUAAUGAUUUUACUACAUGGAUAGCCGUAGUAAUUCUAGAGCUAAUACAUGCGUAUAAGUUUGACUCCGUGAGGGGAAGAACUGUAUUUAUUAGAUCGAAAAACAAAGGAGCGUGUGCAUUCGAUUAACCUCGAGUGUGUGCGUUCCAUAAUGAUGAAUCAUAAUAACUUUGUCGAAUCAUUGGGUCACCCCUUUGAUGUGUCAUUUGAAUUUCUGCCCUAUCAACUUGUGAUGGUAGGAUAGAGGCCUUACCAUGGUUUUGACGGGUAACGGGGAAUUAGGGUUCGAUUCCGGAGAGGGAGCCUGAGAAAUGGCUACUACUUCUAAGGAAGGCAGCAGGCGCGCAAAUUACCCAAUCCCAAUAAUUUUGGGGAGGUAGUGACAAAAAAUAUCGAUUCGAGCGGACUAUGUCCGUAUCGAAAUUGGAAUGAUUCACCAGUAAAUGAGGUGGAGAGAAACAAUUAGAGGGCAAGUCUGGUGCCAGCAGCCGCGGUAAUUCCAGCUCUAAUAGUGUAUACUAAAAUUGCUGCAGUUAAAAAGCUCGUAGUUGAAUUUGUUGCUGAGUAUGUAGGGUGAAAUUCUUUAUUACAUUGAUCUAUACCUGUAACUUGGUGUAGUCAUGUGGUGGAGAUGCAUUCUUGACUCAGUGUUUGUAAUGUUUUUCGAAGGAUGGUGAGGCACUUUAUUGGGCUUUCACUGUAAUUCGGAGAGUUUACUUUGAAGAAAAUGGAGUGUUCAAAGCAGGUUUAUAAAAAGCGCAACUGAACACAUUAGCAUGGAAUAAUAAAAUAGGACACUUGGUUAUUGUGUGGUAAAACGCACAGUAACUUUCCUCCAUUGGGGGAAAUUCUAUUUUGUUGGUUUAUAGUGCAAGUGUAAUGAUUAAUAGGGACAGUUGGGGACAUUCGUAUUGCAUCGUCAGAGGUGAAAUUCUUGGAUUGAUGCAAGACGAACGAGUGCGAAAGCAUUUGGCAAGGAUGUUUUCAUUAAUCAAGAACGAAAGUUAGGGGAUCGAAGGCGAUCAGAAACCGCCCUAGUCUUAACUAUAAACGAUGCCAACUAGGGAUKGGGGGGAGGAGAUUGUAUUAUAUCUUCUUACGUUUAUAAUAGCAUAAGUGUUGGCAACAAUACUUGGCUAUUUGCCUCGUCAGGACCUGAUGAGAAAUCAUAAGUCUUUGGGUUCUGGGGGGAGUAUGGUCACAAGGCUGAAACUUAAAGAAAUUGACGGAAGAGCACCACCAGGUGUGGAGCCUGCGGCUUAAUUUGACUCAACACGGGAAAACUUACCAGGUCCAGACACGGGGAGGAUUGACAGAUUGAGAGUUUUUUCUUGAUUUCGUGGGUGGUGGUGCAUGGUCGUUCUUAGUUGGUGGAGCGAUUUGUCUGCUUAAUUGCGAUAACGAACGAGACCUCAACCUGCUAACUAAGCUUUUUUUAAUGUAAGAUUUCUUACGUUUUCUACAACAAAGCUUCUUAGAGGGACAACCGUCUUCUAGAUGGGGGAAGCAUGAGGCAAUAACAGGUCUGUGAUGCCCUUAGAUGUCCUGGGCCGCACGCGCGCUACACUGAUGAAAUCAACAAGUUUGAAAUUCACGGUUUUCGUGAUUUUCCUGAUCCGAGAGGAUUGGGUAAUCUUUUGAAUUUUCAUCGUGAUGGGGAUUGAUGUUUGUAAUUAUGGAUCAUGAACGAGGAAUACCUAGUAAGUGCAAGUCAUCAGCUUGCGCUGAUUACGUCCCUGCCCUUUGUACACACCGCCCGUCGCUCCUACCGAUUGAAUGAUAAGAUGAAAUGUUCGGAUUGAGGGGUCGCAUCAAUUUAAGAAUGGUGUUAAAGCCAUUUGGACGUGAUCUCACUAGAAGAACAGUAAAUCUUCUUAUUUAGA